rnacentral:sRNA from 1 species
GGGAACAUGUCACCAUGAAUCUGACCACAAGCUGACUGGCAGGUGCUUUGGCCACAAGCUCUGACUCCAGGCCCUGUCCCUUGAGCUCUGCCCUCGGAUGUCCGACCGCCCAGAGCCUGCAUGCGCCGUGGGGCGCCCCAGGCCCAGGAGCUGGUGGGUCCGGGGCCCCCUGGGCGGGGGUCCCGGGGCGCCCCUCCUCCCUUGGGACCCGUUGUCCCGGUCCUGGUCUUUCCCCCGGAUCUAGUAUUCAGGGCGGACCAGCGGAGCGGACCCCGACAGCUGCUGACCCUCUAUAACCCCACAGGAACUGCGCUUCGCUUCCGAGGUAAAGGGAUCGGCGCCUCAGGGGGACUGGUGGCCGGACACUGUGGGGCUGUGUUGGCUGGAGGAGUUAGAUGGGUAGGGUUGGACGUCCAGCUUUGGUGGAGUGGGAAAGUCAUGUCCAGCCUCCGGGGCAGAAGGCAGAGGGGACUCAAAUGACCCACAUGGUAGGGCUUGUCUGUGUGUGUCUCUAUCCCCCAGUCCUGUGCACAGCACCUGCCAAAUACACGGUGUUUGACGCAGAGGGAUAUGUGAAGCCCCAGUCUUGCAUUGACAUUGUGAUUCGCCAUGUGGCACCCAUUCCCAGCCACUAUGAUGUCCAGGACCGCUUCCGCAUUGAGCUGUCUGAGGAAGGAGCUGAGGGCCGAGUGGUGGGACGCAAGGACAUUACCUCCGUUCUGAGAGCCCCAGCGUACCCCCUUGAGCUUCAGGGACAGCCAGAUCCAGCGCCUCACCCAGGGCCUCCUGCUGGGACACCACCACCCACGACCAGACACUUCCAGGA